AUUUGUUCAACAGCAGACACAGCUUUAGUCAAGGCAAACACCUCUUAUGGGCUGCUGUGGGAACCAGUUUCAUAGAAGCAAAUCAGGCACCUGAAUGUCCUGAGGGAGCUGAGCUGUGACCUCGGAGCACUCCAAGGGAACAGGAGUUUGUUGGUGCCCAGAUCCUGCAGCACUCGGGGCUCCUCAGCACGUGCUUCUGGAGGGACUGAUGUUACACAGGAGCAGGAUGUGGCACUGGCAGCCUGAGCCAUCCUGAAGUGCUGAGCAAAAACGAGUGAUGUAAACAGUGACACUGGUGGCUCCUGUUGUGUCAGAAUUACUGUGCCAGGCAUGGGAUCCAUGGCAAGGACCUUUUCAUUCUCCACAUGCAGUUAACAGGAAUGUGCAGGGGAGCAUCAAAGUGCUGCAAGUGCACUGUGUUUAUGCUGUUUCAACAACAACUUUCUGCAAGUCUUGAAGGAUCAACAGUGUUAGAGGUAAAUGUACGAUAUUUUUCUCUGGUAAAACCAACAUCAGAGUCUGUUCUCUUGCUCUCCAAGAAGAAUUAUCUUUUCACUAUCUCUAUUUUUAUUCAUUUAUGGGAAGAUGGUGUUAAAGAAGUGGGUUUAACAUUUUUCCAUGAUGGCAGAAAAACUUCUAUCUCACUAUGUCCAGAAUAUACAUUUUACCCUGUGUGGUGCUGUGUACAUCAGAGCCUUCUCGGUUUUUCCCUUUUCCCAUCCUUAUUUUCCCCUUCCUUAUUUUCUCCCUUUUCCCCCUAUUUCCCUCUUUUCACCCCUUUUUCCUUUUUUUUUUCCCCUUUCAAUGACUCCUCAUGUACUGGUGAUACUACUGUGGAAUUUAUUGUAUAGCUGUGGGAAACUUGCUUUCAUUGUAAAAUUAUAAGGUGUCUCCUAAAUAUGGUAGCAUUCUUAAAAAAAUAAAAUGGUGCUGUUAAUGUUGUAUCUGUGUGUUUCAUUAUGAGUGUAAAGGAAUUCUGAACACAGCAAAACAUGGGAAAUUUUAGAAAUCUGAGAGAAGAUGACUGGGAGAUCAAAAUGCCUGUCAGUGUUUCAAUUUUUCUAUUUUCACAUACAAAAUCAUAUAUUUAAAAAUAUCAUACUUAAAAAAAAAAGCCCUUUCUUUUGAAUGGGGAUCUUGAAAGUGAUGCAAAUGUAAGUAGCAUUUGUACUGUGCCUGUUUCUGUCGAUUUGUGCUGCUGAGUGAGGCAUGAACAGACUUCCAGUCACGUUUUUUUGAAGAUAAGUCUUUUUGUAAGCGAACAGUGAGCUCCUAUUUGCACAUAUUUACAUAUGUACUAGCUCUUACUUGGCCUUGAAACUGUA